UUUGAUCCUGGCUCAGGACGAACGCUGGCGGCGUGCUUAACACAUGCAAGUCGAACGGAAAGGCCUGCUUUCCCUUGUGGAUUGCGGGUGCUCGAGUGGCGAACGGGUGAGUAACACGUGAGUAUCUGCCCCCAACUUGGGUAUAAGCCUGGGAAACUGGGUCUAAUUCCCGAUAGGACUGCAGGGUGGUGCCUGUGGUGGAAAACGAUUUUUUAGUGGUUGGGGAUGAGCUCGCGGCCUAUCAGCUUGUUGGUGGGGUAAUGGCCUACCAAGGCGGCGACGGGUAGCCGGCCUGAGAGGGUGGACGGCCACAUUGGGACUGAGAUACGGCCCAGACUCCUACGGGAGGCAGCAGUGGGGAAUAUUGCACAAUGGGCGGAAGCCUGAUGCAGCGACGCCGCGUGGGGGAUGACGGCCUUCGGGUUGUAAACUCCUUUCGACCGCGAGGAAGCCACCUGGUUGGAAGGGUGGUGACGGUAGUGGUAGAAGAAGCACCGGCUAACUACGUGCCAGCAGCCGCGGUAAUACGUAGGGUGCGAGCGUUGUCCGGAUUUACUGGGCGUAAAGAGCUCGUAGGUGGCUUGUCGCGUCGUCUGUGAAAGUCUGGGGCUUAACUCCGGGUGUGCAGGCGAUACGGGCUGGCUUGAGUGCUGUAGGGGAGACUGGAAUUCCUGGUGUAGCGGUGGAAUGCGCAGAUAUCAGGAGGAACACCGAUGGCGAAGGCAGGUCUCUGGGCAGCCACUGACGCUGAGGAGCGAGAGCAUGGGUAGCGAACAGGAUUGGAUACCCUGGUA
rnacentral:rRNA from 1 species